ACGAACGCUGGCGGCGUGCUUAACCCAUGCCAGUCGAACGGAAAGACCCUGCUUUUGUGGGGUGCUCGAGUGGCGAACGGGUGAGUAACACGUGAGUAACCUGCCCUUGACUUUGGGAUAACUUCAGGAAACUGGGGCUAAUACCGGAUAGGAGCUCCUGCUGCAUGGUGGGGGUUGGAAAGUUUCGGCGGUUGGGGAUGGACUCGCGGCUUAUCAGCUUGUUGGUGGGGUAGUGGCUUACCAAGGCUUUGACGGGUAGCCGGCCUGAGAGGGUGACCGGCCACAUUGGGACUGAGAUACGGCCCAGACUCCUACGGGAGGCAGCAGUGGGGAAUAUUGCACAAUGGGCGGAAGCCUGAUGCAGCAACGCCGCGUGCGGGAUGACGGCCUUCGGGUUGUAAACCGCUUUCGCCUGUGACGAAGCGUGAGUGACGGUAAUGGGUAAAGAAGCACCGGCUAACUACGUG
rnacentral:rRNA from 1 species